rnacentral:rRNA from 1 species
CCAUGGGGGGGCGUGCUAAUACAUGCAAGUCGAGCGGACAGAUGGGAGCUUGCUCCCUGAUGUUAGCGGCGGACGGGUGAGUAACACGUGGGUAACCUGCCUGUAAGACUGGGAUAACUCCGGGAAACCGGGGCUAAUACCGGAUGGUUGUUUGAACCGCAUGGUUCAAACAUAAAAGGUGGCUUCGGCUACCACUUACAGAUGGACCCGCGGCGCAUUAGCUAGUUGGUGAGGUAACGGCUCACCAAGGCAACGAUGCGUAGCCGACCUGAGAGGGUGAUCGGCCACACUGGGACUGAGACACGGCCCAGACUCCUACGGGAGGCAGCAGUAGGGAAUCUUCCGCAAUGGACGAAAGUCUGACGGAGCAACGCCGCGUGAGUGAUGAAGGUUUUCGGAUCGUAAAGCUCUGUUGUUAGGGAAGAACAAGUACCGUUCGAAUAGGGCGGUACCUUGACGGUACCUAACCAGAAAGCCACGGCUAACUACGUGCCAGCAGCCGCGGUAAUACGUAGGUGGCAAGCGUUGUCCGGAAUUAUUGGGCGUAAAGGGCUCGCAGGCGGUUUCUUAAGUCUGAUGUGAAAGCCCCCGGCUCAACCGGGGAGGGUCAUUGGAAACUGGGGAACUUGAGUGCAGAAGAGGAGAGUGGAAUUCCACGUGUAGCGGUGAAAUGCGUAGAGAUGUGGAGGAACACCAGUGGCGAAGGCGACUCUCUGGUCUGUAACUGACGCUGAGGAGCGAAAGCGUGGGGAGCGAACAGGAUUAGAUACCCUGGUAGUCCACGCCGUAAACGAUGAGUG